rnacentral:lncRNA from 1 species
GUCGGCUAGUUUUUUUGUAUUUUAGUAGAGGCACGGGGGUUCCACUUGGUUAGCCAGGAUGUCUUCGGUCUCCUGACCUCGUGUCGCCCGUCUCGGCCUCCCAAAGUGCUGGGAUUACAGGCUUGAGCCACCGCGCCCGGCCGCAUUUUUUUUUUAUUUAAUUUUUUGAGAUGGAGUCUUGCUCUGUUGCCCAGGAUGGAGUACAGACCAGCUCACUGCAACCUCCGCCUCCCGAGUUCAAGCAUUUCUUCUGCCUCAGCUUCUCAAGUAGCUGGGAUUAGAGGUGCACACCACCACACCUGGCUAAUUUUUUUGUUUUUAGUAGAGACAGGGUUUCACCAUGUUGGUCAGGCUGGUCUCGAACUCCUGACCUCAAGUGAUCUGUCUGCCUCAGCCUCCCAAAGUGCUGGGAUUACAGGCGUGAGCCACCAAGCCUAGCCUGAAUUUACUUUUAACGCCUCUGUUCUUUGAGCUCUGGCAGGGAAGAAGUGCCUGGAUCCCUUGAGGUGGGCUCUAAGCAUGACCUAUGGAAAGGCAGUGACUUUUGUUGCUGCAGCAGUGGAGAGAAGCCACUCUGAGCUGACUCUGUCCAACCCAGGAAUGCCGUGGUCUGAGAACAGCCUCCCAGGCAAGAGGGAACCCCAACAAACGCCGGCUUUGUUUCUGCUACUGAGUUUCCCAGUUUAGAUUCUGCUCCCCCGACUCCACUGCCCAACUGGUUUAACCUUUCCUUAGCCCAGCAAUCAGAGCCUCCAGGCCCAGGAGGAUGAAAAGAACAUGGAGACAACGGGAGGCUCCAAAUGGAGUAGCCCUCUGCCAGCUCACAUCCCUCUUUCAGGGGCUGCAGCUUGGACAUCCCAGGACUGGCCAGCCCACAGGAGGCAAAGAGGGCUCUCCGUUACCUCAGGAAGUCCGACGUCAGCCCCAGCUGUCCUCUGCCCCAGGGAAAGCAGUGAAGACUGGUCUGCGUGUGUCUCCCAUGAACAGAGCCGUCCCAGAUGUGUUCCUCGCAGGUGGAGACCAGGUGCCCCGAGGCCACACUCGCCGCUGUCUUUCUGCAGUUGAAUCCAGAGAGCAACUGGAGGAAGAAGAGGCGGGGGAAAUAAAGGAGGGGAAUGGCUCGCAUGCUGUACCCCUCCGAAGGUCGGGGGCUUUCCGGGCCCGUGGCCGCAACUAUGACGUCUUCAAAAGACAUAGUUGGGGGCCUGGCAGGGAGCUCGAGGACCCACUGACUAGGUAAGCCCCCAGGGAACCUCCUGUACCUCCUUCCCUCCAGGCCUAGACCUUGGAGAAAAUGGGAAAGUGAGAAAGAACUAGGUAACUCUCUAGUUAUCUCCCUCAAGAGACAACCAUCCGAAGAACGACAGGAGUCGAGGAGACCUGGGCCCCCAGUCCUUUCCCUGGAGAACCGGAGCUCAAUCCCACUGGUGGGCCUUUGGGGAGGAUGGAUGCUGCCUUCCAAAAUAUGCCUCUCGCCAGUGGCUCUUAUCUCCUUCUCUCAGGGCAGAGUGAGGGUAGUCGUGGGUGGGAGGUGUGGAGUCAGGGUGAGUAUCAGGACACUGGAUCUUCUUGCUUCCGCCUCCUACGGUGGGUUUCAUAGAACCACAUAAUGGUGUCAUAGAACCACAGAAAGAACUCAGAGAGCAUAUGGCACGAUCUCCUCAUUUUACAGAUAAGGAAACUGAGGCCCAAAGAACUUUCAGAGAUUUUUUUUUUUUGAGACGCAGUCUGGCUCUAUUGGCAGGCUGGAGUGCAGUGGCGCGAUCUCGGCUCACUGCAACCUCUGCCUCCCGGAUUCAAGCAGUUUUCCUGCCUCAGCCUCCUGAGUAGCUGGGGCUAAAGGUGCGUGCCACCAUGCCCAGCUAAUUUUUGUAUUUUUAUUAGAGACGGAGUUUCACCAUGUUGGCCAGGAUGGUCUCAAUCACUUGACCUUGUGAUCCGCCCACGAAGUGGUGGCCUCCCAAAGUGGUGUGAUUACAGGGGUGAGCCACACGCCUAGCCGUGAACUUUCAGAGAUUUCUUGAGAGAGGUGGUCACAGGGUGGGACAUUGGGCCUGCCCCAUUGCCAGGUCCUUGCCGGGCUUUUGGUUGCAGGCUGAGGACAACCCAGGAUGCCUUAGAUUAACUCAUGGUCCUGCAUUGCCACGUGAGAUCAGUUGUUCUUGCUCAGACUUCUGCAUAUACUUGGUGGACUGGAGCAGAAAAAUCAUCUCUUCCCCCUCCCGUGGAAAACCCCUGACCACUUCCCCAAAGUCAGAGGAAGUCAGAAAGAGAAGGUCCGGGGGUCAGCAUGAAGAGUUCAGUGUGAGUGAACAUUGUAGGGGCUGCUGGCCAUGGAAGGGCACUGUCUUUCUGCUUUGAAAAUGGUCCCCUUGAACAAGUUCUUUUAGCUCUGGUGAGUGGACCAAACUUCCCUAGCUCCUGGGCAGGGCUGGCUGGUUUGAGUGAGGGGAGAGGACCCUGGGCCUUGUCCCUGAACUGGCUUGGGUGGGAACGCAGAUGAGAAGCAAUGCCUGCAGGGCUCAUGGCACCUUCCUAAGGGUAGCUGGCUGGAAGAGAGAUGCCCAAAUGCCUGGGCCCCCCUAUGUGGCACCAACUGUAUCUCAGGGUCUUUCAAGCGUCACCCACCUUUCACAGUCAGGUAUUAAUUCUGCCCCUUGGUUAGAGAGGGAAGGGAGUCCUGAGUGCACUA